ACAAAAAAAUAAUUAAUGAAAAAAAAUAUACUAAAAACUUUAUCCCCAAUAUUAAAUUUACCUACACCAGCUAGAAUUAGUUUUAUAUGAAAUUUUGGAUCUUUAUUAAUAAUUUGUUUAAUUAAUCAAAUUUUAACAGGAUUAUUUUUAGCCUUCCAUUAUAAAACAGAUAUUAAUUUAGCUUUUCAAAGAAUUAUUAAUAUAAAUCGAAAUAUUAACUUUGGAUGAUUAAUCCGAUCUUUCCAUGCAAAUGGGGGCUUCUAUAUUUUUUAUUAUAAUUUAUAUUCAUAUUAGACGAGGUAUCUAUAUAAAUUCUUUCAACUUUAAAAUAACAUGAAUUAUUGGAGUAAUUUUAUUAUUAUUAACAAUAAUAACAGCAUUUGUAGGUUAUGUAUUACCAUGAGGACAAAUAUCAUUUUGGGGGGGCAACAGUAAUCACAAAUUUAUUAUCAGCAAUUCCUUAUUUAGGAAAUUCAAUUGUUAUUUGAAUUUGAGGGGGAUUCUCAAUUAAUAAUGCUACAUUAACACGAUUUUUCUCAAUCCAUUUUAUUUUACCAUUUAUUAUUAUUUUAUUUACUUUUAUUCACUUAUUCUUUCUUCAUUUAACAGGUUCUAAUAAUCCACUAGGAAUUAAUAGAAAUUUUGAUAAAAUUACUUUUUCUCCAUAUUUUCUAAUUAAAGAUUUAAUUGGAUUAAUCAUAUUUAUAUGAAUAUUUUUUAUUUUAGCUUUAAUUUUUCCAUACCUACUAAAUGAUCACAAUAAUUUUAUUAUAGCAAAUUCAAUAAUUACACCAAAUCACAUUCAACCAGAAUGAUAUUUUUUAUUUUCUUAUUCAAUUUUACGAGCAAUCCCUAAUAAAUUAGGAGGGGUUAUUGCUUUAAUACUUUCAAUUUUAAUUUUAUUAAUCUUACCUAUAUUAAACAAUAAAAAUUUUUUAAGAAAUAAAUUUUACCCAUUAAAUAAAUUUUUAUUCUGAAUAUUUAUUAUAACAUUUUUUAUUUUAACCUGAAUUGGGAUACAACCAGUUGAAUACCCAUUUAUUACAACAGGGCAAAUUUUUACAACAAUUUAUUUUUCUUACUUUUUCAUUAACUUUUAUAUCAUAAAGUUAUGAGAUAAAUUAUUAAUUUA